GCCUGGGUGGCUCAGUUGGUUAAGCAUCUGAUUUCAGCUCAGGUCAUGAUCUCACAGUUUGUGGGUUCAAGCCCUGCAUCGGGCC
rnacentral:tRNA from 1 species